rnacentral:lncRNA from 1 species
UCUCUAAGGCUUUUCAAAUAAACUCAUGCUCUUAUUUUAAUUUUCCUAUUCUCCCAUUUUUGGUGAAAUAAAUAAGAUUAAGAAUGAAUACCUGGGGGGCCGGCCCUGUGGCAGAGUGGUUAAGUUCACGUGCUCCGCUGCAGGCGGCCCACUGUUUUGUCAGUUCGAAUCCUGGGCGCAGACAUGGCACCACUCAUUGAGCCACGCUGAGGCGGCGUCCCACAUAUCACAACUAGAAGGACCCACAACUAAGAAUAUACAACUAUGUACCGGGGGGCUUUGGGGAGAAAAAGGAAAAAAAAAAAAUAAAAUCUUAAAAAAAAAAGAAUGAGUACCUGGGAAAGUAACAAAUUGCCACAUAAUUACAUGCCAUUUGUCUGCUUUUUAAUAUUGUUGUUCAAUUUUCUAUUAAACAUAAAGAUACUCAUAUUUGACUUCAGUCAACCACUUACAGAAGGAAGUUAAAGAAGACUUAGUCAGAACAGAAUGACAUUUCCUUGAACUUGCCCUACAGUUGAUCAGGACUAGCAGAUAGGUAAAUGAGUUUCUAAGCAUCUUAAGGACAUCGUCUACCAGCAGCCUCAUACACACCCCAAAGUACAGAAAGGUCCAUCCCCAAAAGAAUUAUGGAUGUGGCUUUGGUUUUGAAGAGAAUUGUAUUGGUAAAAAGACUACCAAUUUGGACUAAAGGGGCAGAGACACCUAAAAAAGAAAACAGGCCUCUGGACAGAAAGCAGGUCAGGGGAACCACUGAAUUAUAAACAUGGGCUAUCGACAAGAAAAGCACCUUUGAGAGCAGAAUCAAGAGUCUAGGGAAGGAACCAAGAAUUAAGGAGAAUAUUGGAUUAGGAAACCAUUCCAAGGGAACACGUAUGGGCCAUGAUCAAGGAACGUGCCCUACCUUCAGAGUUAGGGCAACUGGCAAUAAGUGAUGGGCUGGAUUUCAGAAUUACUCAGAAUCAGUAAAUUCUGUGUGUUCUCAUUCUUUCUAUUCAGGUUAUUCUGUGGAAGUCUAUUGAGGUUAUUCUAUAUUCUUUGUAUUGAUGUUAUUCUGUUCCUAUCUGACAGAUGUAUGUCAGAUGUAUACGUAUGUGUGCAUAUAUCACUUUUCUUUAUAGCUUACAGAUCUUUGGGCAAGAUACAGAUAAUUAGAUAUUGGACUUUGACCCCAAUGCUACUUAUGGAUGAGACUUUCAGGGGACUUGAAGAAAGGUAAUUGUAUUUUGCAUGUGGGAGGAUUGAAAAUAAUUAUUACCAGAGGAUGGAUUGUGGUAGGUUUAAUAUAGCCAUAAAUUAUUUGUAGUUUCUCCCAUCAAGAAGUGGAGUCUCAGGGUUGGCCCCAUGGACAAAUGGUUGAUUUCAGCACACUCCACUUUGAUAGCCUAGAUUUGGUUCCUGGACAUAAACUUAUGCCACUCAUUGGCAGCCAUGCUGUGGCAGCAACCCACAUACAAAAUAGAUUUUAGCUUAGGGUACAGAUUUUAGCUCAGGGCAAAUCUUCCUCAAGCAAAAAGAGGGAGAUUGGCAACAGAUGUCAGCUCAGGGUGAAUCUUCCUCAGCAAAAAAAAAAAAAAAAAAAAGAAGAAGUUUACCACAUCUUGAAUCAAAACUGGCUUUGUGACUUGCUUUGCCUAAUAAAAUGGAGCUGAAGUGAUGUGAUUUCCAAAGUCUAGGCCUCAAGAGGUCUUGCAGCUUCCUUCUUUGCCCUCUGGGAAUGCUGCUCUGACACCGCGAUAUCACUGUCAGUCUAGCCUACAGGAGAAUGGAAGAAUAUGUCAAAGAAAACAAAGGCACACCAGCUGGUGGCCCCCACAAGCUGCCAGACAUGAGUGGGGGCAUUUGGGACCUCCCUGCUGAGCUGGCCUUCCAGCCGAGCACGGGCACAUCAGUGAGAACAAACAGAGGCAGCAGAGGAAACUCCCAGGCAAUCCUCAGAAACAGGAAAGUAACAAACUGUUGUUGUCGUUAUCCACUAAGGUCUGAGAGCGGUACGUCACAAAGUGGUAUUUUACUGGAAACAAGACAGGAUGUUCUAUGAAGGAGAAGAAAAGAUACUUUAUGUAAGGAAAGACUACAUUCAGUUUAGGAGAAAUAAGAAAAUGUUCAUGAAGAAUGUGGUAUUUGAGAUUUGUACUAAAAGGUAUGUCUGAAAGAUGAAAUGAGAACGUUGUAGAAGAACUUUAAAGCCAGGAUGUGGUGUUUACAUUCAAGUCUGAAGGCAAUGGGAAGCUGGCAUCAUUUGUUUAAAGGAGGAGCAUAAACCCAAUGCAUCGCUGGUAACCGGAAGAGGAACUAGAACACUGAAGGCAUCUCAUGAAUGAUUUUUGAAUGAAUGACUGGAAUUUUUUUCUAACUCACCAGAUGUGACAAUCCAGUGAAAUCCAACUUAGUGUUAGUUUAUUCUACUGGGAGAAGGUGUCAGAAUGUGUCAGGAAAAAGCACUUUAAUGUUCAUUAAAGGGCCUGAGAACUGAAGUGAAUAAAAUGUCUUAAUGUGCAAUACAGCGUUGAAUAUGUUGGCGUGCUGCGACCUACAAGAAUACAUUUGGAACAGAUAAGGUUUAGGAAAAAGGCUGCAGUAAGAGUAAACAAAAUGACCUUUCUGGCAGAGUAUGCCACUAUUUUAUGCAUGGUCACAUAGUACUUUAUGACACAUAGAAUACCUGUGGAAAACAUUUGCCCUUCUUGGUCAUUUGGAUUAAUUUGUACCAUAAAUGCAUCUUUUACCAUCCUAUUCCCAGAUUCAUGAGUUUGAUAUAUGGAGCUGUUUAGGUCUUUAUUUUUCUUCUUAACUUUUCCUGAGGGAAUCUUCCAGUGUGACCAUGCUGAUUGAUGACCACCCUCCCCGUGACUAACCUCAUAGAGUGUAUGUGUGGACAGCUUUACGGCUCAUGGAACUCUGGGAACAUUUCCAACCACUUUCAUUUUGUUUCCCC